rnacentral:snRNA from 11 species
CUUUUCCCCCGGCCAUGGAGACACCAUGGUCAUGAAGGUGGUCUUCCCAGGAAGAGGCUCAUCCAUUGCACUCCGGGUGUGCUGACCCCUGCGAUUUCCCCAAAUGUGGGAAACUCAACUGCAUCAUUUGUGGUGGGGGCGGCAUCUCAAUGUGAAGUGUCCAUCU